CCUACGGGGGGCAGCAGUGAGGAAUAUUGGUCAAUGGACGAGAGUCUGAACCAGCCAAGUAGCGUGAAGGAUGACUGCCUUAUGGGUUGUAAACUUCUUUUAUAUGGGAAUAAAAUGUUCCACGUGUGGGAUUUUGUAUGUACCAUAUGAAUAAGGAUCGGCUAACUCCGUGCCAGCAGCCGCGGUAAUACGGAGGAUCCGAGCGUUAUCCGGAUUUAUUGGGUUUAAAGGGAGCGUAGGUGGAUUGUUAAGUCAGUUGUGAAAGUUUGCGGCUCAACCGUAAAAUUGCAGUUGAAACUGGCAGUCUUGAGUACAGUAGAGGUGGGCGGAAUUCGUGGUGUAGCGGUGAAAUGCUUAGAUAUCACGAAGAACUCCGAUUGCGAAGGUAGUUCACUGGACUGCAACUGACACUGAGGCUCGAAAGUGUGGGUAUCAAACAGGAUUAGAUACCCUAGUAGUC
rnacentral:rRNA from 1 species